rnacentral:RNase_P_RNA from 1 species
GAAGCCCACCAGACUGUCGCUGGUGCAAGCCGUAAGGCCGACGCGCAAGCGCCGGGUGGAAACGCCGCACUGGAGGAACGUCCGGACUGCAUAGGGCAGCGUAGCAGCUAACGGCUGUCCACUGAAACCCGCGCGCGCAAGCGCGCGGCAUAAGGUGAGGAUCAGAGCAACAGAGACGAGUCCGAGCGUAGAUGUGCCCAUGCGGGUGUUCUGCGGUUUGCCGACGCAAGUUGGCGCGGCUGGCGCAAGCCAGACGGUUGCUGGCGCAAGCCAGCGACGACGCAGCCACCCCGGGCGCAAAGCGCCCGGGUGAAACGGGCAAUCUCUACGCGCAGCAAUACCAAGUAGGCCAGCGUUGAUGGGGCCCCCAGAGCUGGCGGGUAGGUAGCACCGAGCCGCUGGGUGACCAGCGGCCCAGAUUGAUGACAGUCACUUCGGCGCGCCCGCAAGGACGCGCCGUUGCACAGAAUCCGGCUUAUCGGUGGGCUUCACAC